rnacentral:rRNA from 1 species
CCUACGGGUGGCAGCAGUGGGGAAUAUUGCACAAUGGGGGAAACCCUGAUGCGGCGACGCCGCGUGAGUGAGGAAGUAUUUCGGUAUGUAAAGCUCUAUCAGCAGGGAAGAAAAUGACGGUACCUGACUAAGAAGCCCCGGCUAACUACGUGCCAGCAGCCGCGGUAAUACGUAGGGGGCAAGCGUUAUCCGGAUUUACUGGGUGUAAAGGGAGCGUAGACGGCUACACAAGUCAGGAGUGAAAACCCGGGGCUUAACCUUGGGACUGCUUUGGAAACUGAGUAGCUAGAGUGCAGGAGAGGUAAGCGGAAUUCCUAGUGUAGCGGGGAAAUGCGUAGAUAUUAGGAGGAACACCAGUGGCGAAGGCGGCUUACUGGACUGUAACUGACGUUGAGGCUCGAAAGCGUGGGGAGCAAACAGGAUUAGAUACCCGAGUAGUC